ACUCUGGCACAACGGGUCAGUGUGUCUGGCAGUUAACCAGAAGGCUGGUGGUUCAAAUCCACCCAGGGAUG